rnacentral:rRNA from 1 species
CUCAUGCUCGUCGAGCGGCAUGUAGUUUCUUCUUUCUUUUCCCGAGAGCGGGAGACGUGAGACUAAUGUCUGGGAAUCUGCGUGAGGGAGGGGGAUAACCAGGGGAAGCUAUAUCCAAUACCGUCCUACCGCACAAGCCCAGAGGGGGCCCCCCUCCUCCCUCUUGCCCUCAUAUGUCCCCAUAUGGUAUUAUCUUAUGGGGGGGAUAACCGCCCACCUGAGAAACUACCCCGAUGUGGUCAGAGAGGAAGACCCCCCACUCUGGAACUGACACAGGCCCCACACUCCCACGGGAGGCAGGUGUGGAAUAUAUUGCACUAUGCGCCCAACCCUGAUGCACCUGUGCCGCGUGUGUGAAAAAGGUCUUCGGUUUGUAACUUAUUUUCCGCGGAGAAAAGGGUUGUGAGGUAAAUAACCUCAGAGAGUGAUUUUACCCGCAAAAGAAGCCCGCUAUAACUCCGUGC